rnacentral:misc_RNA from 1 species
GAUGAAGAACGUAGCGAAAUGCGAUACGUAAUGUGAAUUGCAGAAUUCAGUGAAUCAUCGAAUCUUUGAGCGCACAUUGCGCCCGCCAGCACUCGGGCGGGCAUGCCUGUUCGAGCGUCAUUUCAACCAUCAAGCCCCAGGCUUGCGUUGGAGCCCUGCGGCUGCCGCAGCCUCCUAAAAGCAGUGGCGGGCUCGCUAUCACACCGAGUGCAGUAGAUUACUCUUCGCUCAGGGCGUGCAGCGGGUUCCGGCCGUGAAACCCCCUACUGUUAAAGGUUGACCUCGGAUCAGGUAGGAAUACCCGCUGAACUUAAGCAUAUCAAUAAGCGGAGGA